CAGGCCCUGAAUCAAGACCAAUGGCUUGCUGUGGCCAUUGGUUUCAAGCAGGAGCCUAAAGAAAGCAAUAGCUCCCUGUGGUCUGUGGCCGCUUGAGACCCCCAGCAGAAAGUGGCCUAUUCGGCUGGGAGAAACAGUU